CACACGACUCUCGGCAACGGAUAUCUCGGCUCUCGCAUCGAUGAAGAACGUAGCAAAAUGCGAUACCUGGUGUGAAUUGCAGAAUCCCGCGAACCAUCGAGUUUUUGAACGCAAGUUGCGCCCGAGGCCUUCCGGCUGAGGGCACGCCUGCCUGGGUGUCACGC
rnacentral:rRNA from 1 species